rnacentral:rRNA from 1 species
GAUGAACGCUGGCGGCGUGCCUAAUACAUGCAAGUCGAGCGAACAGACGAGGAGCUUGCUCCUCUGACGUUAGCGGCGGACGGGUGAGUAACACGUGGAUAACCUACCUAUAAGACUGGGAUAACUUCGGGAAGCCGGAGCUAAUACCGGAUAAUAUAUUGAACCGCAUGGUUCAAUAGUGAAAGACGGUUUUGCUGUCACUUAUAGAUGGAUCCGCGCCGCAUUAGCUAGUUGGUAAGGUAACGGCUUACCAAGGCAACGAUGCGUAGCCGACCUGAGAGGGUGAUAGGCCACACUGGAACUGAGACACGGUCCAGACUCCUACGGGAGGCAGCAGUAGGGAAUCUUCCGCAAUGGGCGAAAGCCUGACGGAGCAACGCCGAGUGAGUGAUGAAGGUCUUCGGAUCGUAAAACUCUGUUAUUAGGGAAGAACAAAUGUGUAAGUAACUAUGCACGUCUUGACGGUACCUAAUCAGAAAGCCACGGCUAACUACGUG